AGAGUUUGAUCAUGGCUCAGGAUGAACGCUAGCGGCAGGCUCCGCGCUACCAUGCAGUCGAGGGGUAUGCUUCUUCGGGAGCAGAGACCGGCGCACGGGUGCGUAACGCGUAUGCAAUCUACCUUUUACAGAGGGAUAGCCCAGAGAAAUUUGGAUUAAUACCUCAUAGUAUAGCAGUUUCGCAUGAAACCACUAUUAAAGUCACAACGGUAAAAGAUGAGCAUGCGUCCCAUUAGCUAGUUGGUAAGGUAACGGCUUACCAAGGCUACGAUGGGUAGGGGUCCUGAGAGGGAGAUCCCCCACACUGGUACUGAGACACGGACCAGACUCCUACGGGAGGCAGCAGUGAGGAAUAUUGGACAAUGGGCGCAAGCCUGAUCCAGCCAUGCCGCGUGCAGGAUGACGGUCCUAUGGAUUGUAAACUGCUUUUAUACAGGAAGAAACCCUGGUUCGUGAACCAGCUUGACGGUACUGUAAGAAUAAGGAUCGGCUAACUCCGUGCCAGCAGCCGCGGUAAUACGGAGGAUCCAAGCGUUAUCCGGAAUCAUUGGGUUUAAAGGGUCCGUAGGCGGUUUAAUAAGUCAGUGGUGAAAGCCCAUCGCUCAACGGUGGAACGGCCAUUGAUACUGUUAAACUUGAAUUAUUAGGAAGUAACUAGAAUAUGUAGUGUAGCGGUGAAAUGCUUAGAGAUUACAUGGAAUACCAAUUGCGAAGGCAGGUUACUACUAAUAUAUUGACGCUGAUGGACGAAAGCGUGGGUAGCGAACAGGAUUAGAUACCCUGGUAGUCCACGCCGUAAACGAUGGAUACUAGCUGUUGGGAGCAAUCUCAGUGGCUAAGCGAAAGUGAUAAGUAUCCCACCUGGGGAGUACGUUCGCAAGAAUGAAACUCAAAGGAAUUGACGG
rnacentral:rRNA from 1 species